rnacentral:rRNA from 1 species
AUUGAACGCUGGCGGCAAGCCUAACACAUGCAAGUCGAACGCGUGGCGGACGGGUGAGUAAUGUCUGGGAAACUGCCUGAUGGAGGGGGAUAACUACUGGAAACGGUAGCUAAUACCGCAUACCAUCGGAUGUGCCCAGAUGGGAUUAGCUAGUAGGUGGGGUAAAGGCUCACCUAGGCGACGAUCCCUAGCUGGUCUGAGAGGGUGACCGGCCAGACUGGAACUGAGACACGGUCCAGGCUUCUACGGGAGGCAGCAGUGGGGGUGAUUGCGCAAUGGGCGCAAGCCUGAUGCAACCAUGCCGCGUGUAUGAAGAAGGCCUUCGGGUUGUAAAGUACUUUCAGCGGGGAGGCGUUACCCGCAGAAGAAGCACCGGCUAACUCCGUGCCAGCAGCCGCGGUAAUAC